rnacentral:rRNA from 1 species
AUAAAGUCUAACCUGCCCACUGAAUUUUGUUUGAAGGGCCGCAGUAUUUUGACUGUGCAAAGGUAGCAUAAUCAUUAGUCUUUUAAUUGAAGGCUGGUAUGAAUGGUUGGACGAGAUACAAGCUGUGUCAUAAAAAUUAAAAUUUGAAUUUAUCUUUUUAGUUAAAAGACUAAAAUAAAAUUAAAAGACGAGAAGACCCUAUAGAGCUUUAUAUAAUUAAUAUUUAAAUUAUUAAGAUUUUUUAAAUUAAAAUAUUGUCUUAUAUUUUGUUGGGGUGACAAUAAAAUUUAUAAAACUUUUAUUUUUAUAAAACAUUAAUUUAUGAUUAAAUGAUCCAGUUUUAUUGAUUAUAAAUUUAAGUUACCUUAGGGAUAACAGCGUAAUUUUUUUUGAGAGUUCUUAUCGACAAAAAAGAUUGCGACCUCGAUGUUGGAUUAAGAGUAAUUUUGGGUGUAGAAGUUCAAAAU